GAUGAACGCUGGCUACAGGCUUAACACAUGCAAGUCGAGGGGAAACGACGGGGAAGCUUGCUUCCCCGGGCGUCGACCGGCGCACGGGUGAGUAACGCGUAUCCAACCUGCCUCUGACUGAGGGAUAACCCGUCGAAAGUCGGCCUAAUACCUCAUGGCAUCGUCUGCGGGCAUCCAACGACGAUUAAAGAUUUCAUCGGUCAGGGAUGGGGAUGCGUCUGAUUAGCUAGUUGGCGGGGUAACGGCCCACCAAGGCGACGAUCAGUAGGGGUUCUGAGGGGAAGGUCCCCCACAUUGGAACUGGGACACGGUCCAAACUCCUACGGGAGGCAGCAGUGAGGAAUAUUGGUCAAUGGGCGAGAGCCUGAACCAGCCAAGUAGCGUGCAGGAUGACGGCCCUAUGGGUUGUAAACUGCUUUUAUGCGGGGAUAAAGUGAGGGACGUGUCCUUCAUUGCAGGUACCGCAUGAAUAAGGACCGGCUAAUUCCGUG
rnacentral:rRNA from 1 species